UGGGGAAUAUUGCACAAUGGGCGCAAGCCUGAUGCAGCGACGCCGCGUGGGGGAUGAAGGCCUUCGGGUUGUAAACUCCUUUCGCUAGGGACGAAGCUUUUUGUGACGGUACCUAGAUAAGAAGCACCGGCUAACUACGUGCCAGCAGCCGCGGUAAUACGUAGGGUGCGAGCGUUGUCCGGAAUUACUGGGCGUAAAGGGCUCGUAGGUGGUUUGUCGCGUCGUCUGUGAAAUUCUGGGGCUUAACUCCGGGCGUGCAGGCGAUACGGGCAUAACUUGAGUGCUGUAGGGGUAACUGGAAUUCCUGGUGUAGCGGUGAAAUGCGCAGAUAUCAGGAGGAACACCGAUGGCGAAGGCAGGUUACUGGGCAGUUACUGACGCUGAGGAGCGAAAGCAUGGGUAGCGAACAGGAUUAGAUACCCUGGUAGUCCAUGCCGUAAACGGUGGGCGCUAGGUGUGAGGGUCUUUCUACGACUUUCGUGCCGUAGCUAACGCAUUAAGCGCCCCGCCUGGGGAGUACGGCCGCAAGGCUA
rnacentral:rRNA from 1 species